rnacentral:rRNA from 1 species
UCACUCUUUGGACACUCGGUUACAGGUGGUGCAUGGUUGUCGUCAGCUCGUGUUGUGAGAUGUUCGGUUAAGUCCGGCAACGAGCGCAACCCUCGUCCUAUGUUGCCAGCACGUGAUGGUGGGAACUCAUGGGAUACUGCCGUGGUCAACACGGAGGAAGGUGGGGAUGACGUCAAAUCAUCAUGCCCCUUAUGUCUUGGGCUUCACGCAUGCUACAAUGGCCGAUACAAAGGGCUGCGAUACCGCGAGGUGGAGCGAAUCCCAAAAAGUCGGUCUCAGUUCGGAUUGGGGUCUGCAACUCGACCCCAUGAAGUCGGAGUCGCUAGUAAUCGCAGAUCAGCAACGCUGCGGUGAAUACGUUCCCGGGUCUUGUACACACCGA